CGACGAAAUUUCGUCGGCAAAGAUAUAUGCCGACAAAAUUUGCCGGAUUAGGUUUCCCCCGACGAAAAUAUCUUUGCCGGCGAAAUUUCGUCG
rnacentral:miRNA from 1 species